UACAGCAUGGUGUAGUGGUUUGAGUGUUAGACUAUGACUCUGGAGACCAGGGUUCAAAUCCCUGCUCUGCCA